AGUGAACGCUGGCGGCGUGCCUAAUACAUGCAAGUCGAACGGAAUUUAAAAGAGCUUGCUCUUUUAAAUUUAGUGGCGCACGGGUGAGUAAUAUAUAGCUAAUCUGCCCCUUGCUGGAGGACAACAGUUAGAAAUGACUGCUAAUACUCCAUACUCCUUUUUACCAUAAGAUAAAUCGGGAAAGAAUUUCGGCAAGGGAUAAGACUAUAUCGUAUCAGCUAGUCGGUGGGGUAACGGCCUACCGAGGCUAUGACGCGUAACCGGUCUGAGAGGAUGAUCAGUCACAUUGGAACUGAGACACGGUCCAAACUCCUACGGGAGGCAGCAGUAGGGAAUAUUGCGCAAUGGGGGAAACCCUGACGCAGCAACGCCGCGUGGAGGAUGACACUUUUCGGAGCGUAAACUCCUUUUGUUAGGGAAGAA
rnacentral:rRNA from 1 species